rnacentral:rRNA from 1 species
AUUGAACGCUGGCGGCAGGCCUAACACAUGCAAGUCGAACGAGUGGCGGACGGGUGAGUAAUGUAUGGGAAACUGCCCGAUGGAGGGGGAUAACUACUGGAAACGGUAGCUAAUACCGCAUACCAUCGGAUGUGCCCAGAUGGGAUUAGCUAGUAGGUGGGGUAACGGCUCACCUAGGCGACGAUCCCUAGCUGGUCUGAGAGGAUGACCAGCCACACUGUAACUGAGACACGGUCCAGAAUCCUACGGGAGGCAGCAGUGUGGAAUAUUGCAGAAUGGGCGCAAGCCUGAUGCAGCCAUGCCGCGUGUAUGAAGAAGGCCUUCGGGUUGUAAAGUACUUUCAGCGAGUAGGCGUUACUCGCAGAAGAAGCACCGGCUAACUCCGUUCCAGCAGCCGCGGUAAUAC